rnacentral:rRNA from 1 species
GAUGAACGCUGGCGGCGUGCCUAAUACAUGCAAGUCGAGCGAACAGACGAGGAGCUUGCUCCUCUGACGUUAGCGGCGGACGGGUGAGUAACACGUGGAUAACCUACCUAUAAGACUGGGAUAACUUCGGGAAACCGGAGCUAAUACCGGAUAAUAUAUUGAACCGCAUGGUUCAAUAGUGAAAGACGGUUUUGCUGUCACUUCUAGAUGGAUCCGCGCCGCAUUAGCUAGUUGGUAAGGUAACGGCUUACCAAGGCAACGAUGCGUAGCCGACCUGAGAGGGUGAUCGGCCACACUGGAACUGAGACACGGUCCAGACUCCUACGGGAGGCAGCAGUAGGGAAUCUUCCGCAAUGGGCGAAAGCCUGACGGAGCAACGCCGCGUGAGUGAUGAAGGUCUUCGGAUCGUAAAACUCUGUUAUUAGGGAAGAACAAAUGUGUAAGUAACUAUGUACGUCUUGACGGUACCUAAUCAGAAAGCCACGGCUAACUACGUG